rnacentral:rRNA from 1 species
AAAUCGUACCCCAAACCGACACAGGUGGUCAGGUAGAGAAUACCAAGGCGCUUGAGAGAACUCGGGUGAAGGAACUAGGCAAAAUGGUGCCGUAACUUCGGGAGAAGGCACGCUGAUAUGUAGGUGAAGUGAUUUACUCAUGGAGCUGAAAUCAGUCGAAGAUACCAGCUGGCUGCAACUGUUUAUUAAAAACACAGCACUGUGCAAACACGAAAGUGGACGUAUACGGUGUGACGCCUGCCCGGUGCCGGAAGGUUAAUUGAUGGGGUUAUCCGUAAGGAGAAGCUCUUGAUCGAAGCCCCGGUAAACGGCGGCCGUAACUAUAACGGUCCUAAGGUAGCGAAAUUCCUUGUCGGGUAAGUUCCGACCUGCACGAAUGGCGUAAUGAUGGCCAGGCUGUCUCCACCCGAGACUCAGUGAAAUUGAACUCGCUGUGAAGAUGCAGUGUACCCGCGGCAAGACGGAAAGACCCCGUGAACCUUUACUAUAGCUUGACACUGAACACUGGUCCUUGAUGUGUAGGAUAGGUGGGAGGCUUUGAAGUGUGGACGCCAGUCUGCAUGGAGCCAACCUUGAAAUACCACCCUUUAAUGGCUGGUGUUCUAACGUAGACCCGUGAUCCGGGUUGCGGACAGUGUCUGGUGGGUAGUUUGACUGGGGCGGUCUCCUCCUAAAGAGUAACGGAGGAGCACGAAGGUUAGCUAAUCCUGGUCGGACAUCAGGAGGUUAGUGCAAAGGCAUAAGCUAGCUUGACUGCGAGAGUGACGGCUCGAGCAGGUGCGAAAGCAGGUCUUAGUGAUCCGGUGGUUCUGAAUGGAAGGGCCAUCGCUCAACGGAUAAAAGGUACUCCGGGGAUAACAGGCUGAUACCGCCCAAGAGUUCAUAUCGACGGCGGUGUUUGGCACCUCGAUGUCGGCUCAUCACAUCCUGGGGCUGAAGUAGGUCCCAAGGGUAUGGCUGUUCGCCAUUUAAAGUGGUACGCGAGCUGGGUUUAGAACGUCGUGAGACAGUUCGGUCCCUAUCUGCCGUGGGCGCUGGAGAAUUGAGGGGGGCUGCUCCUAGUACGAGAGGACCGGAGUGGACGCAUCACUGGUGUUCGGGUUGUCAUGCCAAUGGCAUUGCCCGGUAGCUAAAUGCGGAAGAGAUAAGUGCUGAAAGCAUCUAAGCACGAAACUUGCCCCGAGAUGAGUUCUCCCUGACCCUUUAAGGGUCCUGAAGGAACGUUGAAGACGACGACGUUGAUAGGUCGGGUGUGUAAGCGUAGCGAUACGUUGAGCUAACCGAUACUAAUGAACCGUGAGGCUUAACCUUACAACGCCGAAG